rnacentral:lncRNA from 1 species
GUUGAGACGCGCUGGGUGUCCUCCUUCAGCCGGCAGCUCUGUGAACUCUGCUCAGUGGACGAGUGAAGAUAGCCCAGCGUGAUAGGAGGCAAUGCAAGUCAGAUCAUGAGGGAGCUGAGCGGGCCGUUGCCAUGGCGCCCUGAUGACGCUCUGAGGCUGGAUGGGGAGAGUUGAGAGGGAGGGGUGGAGAGAAGAGGAAGACGGUAGCUGCACCAAAGAUUGAGUGGGUUUGAGGCGAUGACUCACACUGUUUAUAAAAAAAA